UACGUAGGGUGCGAGCGUUGUCCGGAAUUACUGGGCGUAAAGAGCUCGUAGGUGGUUUGUCGCGUUGUUCGUGAAAACUCACAGCUCAACUGUGGGCGUGCGGGCGAUACGGGCAGACUGGAGUACUGCAGGGGAGACUGGAAUUCCUGGUGUAGCGGUGGAAUGCGCAGAUAUCAGGAGGAACACCGGUGGCGAAGGCGGCUUCCUGGACGGAUUAUUGACGCUGAGGCACGAAAGCGUGGGGAGCAAACGGG
rnacentral:rRNA from 1 species